CCUACGGGCGGCAGCAGUGAGGAAUAUUGGUCAAUGGGCGCGAGCCUGAACCAGCCAAGUAGCGUGAAGGAUGACUGCCCUACGGGUUGUAAACUUCUUUUAUAAAGGAAUACAGUGAGGCACGUGUGCCUUUUUGUAUGUACUUUAUGAAUAAGGAUCGGCUAACUCCGUGCCAGCAGCCGCGGUAAUACGGAGGAUCCGAGCGUUAUCCGGAUUUAUUGGGUUUAAAGGGAGCGUAGAUGGGUUGUUAAGUCAGUUGUGAAAGUUUGCGGCUCAACCGUAAAAUUGCAAUUGAUACUGGCAGCCUUGAGUACAGUAGAGGGAGGCGGAAUUCGUGGUGUAGCGGUGAAAUGCAUAGAUAUCACGAAGAACUCCGAUUGCGAAGGCAGCUUACUGGACUGCCACUGACGUUGUUGCUCGAAAGUGUGGGGAUCAAACAGGAGUAGAUACCCGGGUAGUC
rnacentral:rRNA from 1 species